rnacentral:misc_RNA from 1 species
AAGGUACCAAGUGACCCUCCUGUGGAUAAAGAUAAUGAUAAUGAAGAUUACAAUCCGGGAAAACAAGAAAUGCUUAUUAAAGCCCUUUCAAGUGCACGGGACAUACUUCUUGAGGAGCUAGAAAAAAUUAGCAAGUCUAUAAAUCAGUCUAUCGAUCUUACUGAUUUUACUUCGAAGUUCGAUGAUAAACAAGCGUCCCAAUUUCCUGCAAGUGCUGACACAGACUUGAUGAAUGAUGAGGCUGCAAGAGAAGUGCCAAGCAAGAUACUGAAUGGCACCAAGAAACUAGAAGAUGGAGUUCUCCAGUCUCAAUCCAAGGAUGAAUUACUCCAGUUAUAUCAUUCCCUUGGCGACCAAGUCUUUUACUUAUGGAGUAUGUUUAUGAGGUUUCACAGGACUCAUAAGACAUCAAUUAUGGAUUUUCUGCGUGAGCAAUGGGCUAUUGAUCGAAG